rnacentral:rRNA from 1 species
CCCUUAGAUGUUCUGGGCGGCCCGCGCACUACACUGGCACUCUCAAUCAGAGCCUAGAUCUAACACUUUGGGGUAUUCUAUGAAGAGGUGUCGUGACUGGGAUUAACCCUUGCAAUUAUUGGUUACGAACGAGGAAUUCCUUGUAAUCGCGGUUUAUCAGCCCGCGUUGAAUGCGUCCCUGCCCUUUGUACACACCGCCCGUCGCACCUACCGAUUGGAUGGUCCGGUGAAGCCUCGGGAUUGUGGUUCUUGCCGCUUUAUUGUGGCGUGACCGCGAGAACUUGUCUAAACCUUAUCAUCUAGAGGAAGGUGAAGUCGUAACA